rnacentral:snRNA from 1 species
ACCGCUCUCUUUGCCUGCUGGCUUAGAUCAGGUGUAGUAUCGGUUCUUUUCUGUUUAAUCUCUGAAAAUUCCCGUUCACGGAACACUUUGAUUAUUCCUAUUUUUGCAGCCCGCGACUUGGCCCCUGUGCAGCCUUGUCACACCGUGUCAUCGGGCUUACUUACACUACCCUCGAUCGACGCAAACUCCU